rnacentral:misc_RNA from 1 species
GUGAAUCAUCAAAUUUUUGAACGCAAAUUGCACUUUCUGGUAUUCCGGAAAGCAUGCCUGUUUGAGAGUCAGUUAAAUUAAAAUCGGUGUUGUUGCUACCCGUAGUAGUUUGUGAUGCGUCGGAAUUGAGUCGUUCUUGACCUUUGUUUUAAGUGACUUAAAAUUAUGUUCGAUUUUUGAACGUAUUUGAAUUAUUACUUACGUGCGUAAUAUCACAUAAUAUGUGCGGUCAUUCACAUGAUUUCGCGUCUAUAAUUUUUCAUUAUGUGUCCUCAAGUCAGUUAAGAA